UACGUAGGGGGGCAAGCGUUGUCCGGAUUUAUUGGGCGUAAAGAGCGUGUAGGCGGCUAGAUAGGUCCGUUGUGAAAACUCGAGGCUCAACCUCGAGACGCCGAUGGAAACCAUCUAGCUAGAGUCCGGAAGAGGAGAAUGGAAUUCCUGGUGUAGCGGUGAAAUGCGCAGAUAUCAGGAAGAACACCCGUGGCUAAGGCGGUUUCUCUAGUACGGACUGACGCUGAGACGCGAAAGCGUGGGAGCGAACAGG
rnacentral:rRNA from 1 species